CUUACGGGAUCCAGCGGGAGCAAAGGGCACUGCGUUCUCAUGGCUCCGGCCGGCGGCGGGGCCGGUUCCUCCCGCCGUCCCGCCGCCCCCCCCGGGAUCUUCUGGAUCGAUACAGCAAGUGCAUUGAGACUGUAGCAACACAUUUAAAACCUUAUAAAAGGUUAUUUAGUUGCUAACAGUGCAGCAGUUUCUGCAAAGCCUGCCAAAAGGUUACAGCUUUUUGGGCAUCAUAAAUUACAGACGACAGGGAAAAAAACGUCAGCUGCCGCGGGGCAGGAUCCCAGUCCAGCCCGGCGGGAUCGCCGCAUCCUCGCCCCGGCCGCGGAGGGACCUGCCGCCCGCGGAGCCCUGCCUGCGCCUCGUCCUUGGAAGCGAUGAACACGCUCCCGGCCUCGUACCCACGUCUCGCCCGGCCGCGGCGAGCAGACGAGCCCAGCCGCGGCGGGGCGGGAGGGAAGCGGCCCGCAGCCCGCCGUCCUUAGCAGCGAUGAUCGCUUGUGCAAGCGUGCAGACGCGGCCGGGGAAGAUGGGACGGGAGAUAAAUGGGAGGGAGUCGACUGGCUGCAACUUAAGAUGUGCCUGCAUGCUGCUGCACCGGUUUAUCAUGAUAAAUGUCAUAGGAAAAUCAAUUCUCUGUGUACUUUUGGGAAUUACAACUAUCAUUUUGGUGUGAUUUAUUUGCUGUAUAACACGGACACGGGCUCUUUGUUCAUCAUUUUGAAAGUUCAUUUAAAA
rnacentral:lncRNA from 1 species